CGAUCAUGGCUCAGAUUGAACGCUGGCGGGAUGCUUACACAUGCAAGUCGAACGGCAGCACGGACUUCCGGUCUGGUGGCGAGUGGCGAACGGGUGAGUGUGUAUCGGAACGUGCCUAGUAGCGGGGAUAACUACGCGAAAGCGUAGCUAAUACCGCAUCGCCCUUCGGGAAAGCGGGGGACCUUCGGGCUCGCACUAUUAGAGCGGCCGAUAUCCGGAUUAGCUAGUUGGUGGGGUAACGGCUCACCAAGGCGACGUCCGUAGCUGGUUUGAGAGGACGACCAGCCGCACUGGGACUGAGACACGGCUAAAGACUCCUGCAGGAGGCAGCGAGUGGGGAAUUUUGGACAAUGGGGGAAACCUGAUCCAGCCAUCCCGCGUGUGCGAUGAAGGCCUUCGGGUUGUAAAGCACUUUUGGCAGGAAAGAAACGGCACGGGAUAAUACCCCGUGCAACUGACAGUACCUGCAGAAUAAGCACCGGCUAACUGCAUUACCCAGCAGCCGCGUGUACGUAGAGGUGCAAGCGUUAAUCAGAAUUACUGGGCGUAAAGCGUGCGCAGGCGGUUCGGAAAGAAAGAUGUGAAAUCCCAGAGCUUAGCUUUGGAACUGCAUUUUUAACUACCGAGCUAGAGUGUGUCAGAGGAGGUGGAAUUCCGCGUGUAGCAGUGAAAUGCGUAGAUAUGCGGAGGAACACCGAUGGCGAAGGCAGCCUCCUGGGAUAACACUGACGCUCAUGCACGAAAGCGUGGGGAGCAAACAGGAUUAGAUACCCUGAGAGGAGUCCCACGCCCUAAACGAUGUCAACUAGCUGUUGGAGCCUUCGGGCCUUGGUAUCGCAGCUAACGUGAAGUUGACCGCCUGGGGAGGUACGGUCGCAAGAUUAAAACUCAAAGGAAUUGACGGGGACCCGCACAAGCGGUGGAUGAUGUGGAUUAAUUCGAUGCAACGCGAAAAACCUUACCUACCCUUGACAUGUCUGGAAUCCCGAAGAGAUUUGGGAGUGCUCGCAAGAGAACCGGAACACAGGUGCUGUAUGGCUGUCGUCAGCUCGUGUCGUGAGAUGUUGGGUUAAGUCCCGCAACGAGCGCAACCCUUGUCAUUAGUUGCUACGAAGGGCACUCUAAUGAGACUGCCGGUGACAAACCGGAGGAAGGUGGGGAUGACGUCAAGUCCUCAUGGCCCUUAUGGGUAGGGCUUCACACGUCAUACAAUGGUCGGGACAGAGGUCGCCAACCCGCGAGAGGCCAAUCCCAGGAAACCCGAUCGUAGUCGGAUCGCAGUCUGCAACUCGACUGCGUGAAGUCAGAAUCGCCGUCGAUGAUGUCGCGGUGAAUACGUUCCCGGGUCUUGUACACACCGCCCGUCACACCAUGGGAGUGGAUUUUACCAGAAGUAGUUAGCCUAACCGUAAGGAGGGCGAUUACCACGGUAGGAUUCAUGACUGGGGGUGAAGUCGUAACAAAGGUAA
rnacentral:rRNA from 1 species